rnacentral:rRNA from 1 species
CACGUAGGAGGCGAGCGUUGUCCGGAAUUAUUGGGCGUAAAGCGCGCGCAGGUGGUUUCUUAAGUCUGAUGUGAAAGCCCACGGCUCAACCGUGGAGGGUCAUUGGAAACUGGGGAACUUGAGCGCAGAAGAGGAAAGUGGAAUUCCAAGUGUAGCGGUGAAAUGCGUAGAGAUUUGGAGGAACACCAGUGGCGAAGGCGACUUUCUGGUCUGUAACUGACACUGAGGCGCGAAAGCGUGGGGAGCGAACAGG